AGUGAACGCUGGCGGUAGGCCUAACACAUGCAAGUCGAACGGCAGCACAGUAAGAGCUUGCUCUUACGGGUGGCGAGUGGCGGACGGGUGAGGAAUACAUCGGAAUCUACUUUUUCGUGGGGGAUAACGUAGGGAAACUUACGCUAAUACCGCAUACGACCUACGGGUGAAAGCAGGGGAUCUUCGGACCUUGCGCGAUUGAAUGAGCCGCUGUCGGAUUAGCUAGUUGGCGGGGUAAAGGCCCACCAAGGCGACGAUCCGUAGCUGGUCUGAGAGGAUGAUCAGCCACACUGGAACUGAGACACGGUCCAGACUCCUACGGGAGGCAGCAGUGGGGAAUAUUGGACAAAGGGCGCAAGCCUGAUCCAGCCAUACCGCGUGGGUGAAGAAGGCCUUCGGGUUGUAAAGCCCUUUUGUUGGGAAAGAAAAGCAGCAGGUUAAUACCCCGCUGUUCUGACGGUACCCAAAGAAUAAGCACCGGCUAACUUCGUG
rnacentral:rRNA from 1 species